UGGUGGAGUGAUUUGUCUGGUUAAUUCCGUUAACGAACGAGACCUCGACCUGCUAAAUAGUUUGGCGAAUUCCCUGUUGAUUCGCACAUAACUUCUUAGAGGGACUAUCGGUUCGCAGCCGGUGGAAGUUCGAGGCAAUAACA
rnacentral:rRNA from 1 species